GUACUCUCUUCAGCAGCACAUAUACUAAAAUUGGAAUGACACAGUGAUUAGCAUGGCCCCUGCUCAGGGAUGACACACAAAAAGGAAGCAUUCCAUAUUUUU